rnacentral:rRNA from 1 species
GCGUCGAGUGGCGGACGGGUGAGUAACGCGUAGGAAUCUGCCAGAUAGUGGGGGAUAGCCCGGAGAAAUCCGGAUUAAUACCGCAUAAUCUCCAUGGAGUAAAGAGGGCCUCUAUUUAUAAGCUUUCGCUAUCUGAUGAGCCUGCGUAAGAUUAGCUAGUUGGUGGGGUAAUGGCCUACCAAGGCGACGAUCUUUAGCUGGUCUGAGAGGAUGAUCAGCCACACUGGGACUGAGACACGGCCCAGACUCCUACGGGAGGCAGCAGUGGGGAAUAUUGGACAAUGGGGGCAACCCUGAUCCAGCAAUACCGCGUGUGUGAAGAAGGCCUGAGGGUUGUAAAGCACUUUCAAUUGUGAAGAAAAGUUAAUAGUUAAUACCUAUUAGCCUUGACGUUAACUUUAGAAGAAGCACCGGCUAACUCCGUGCCAGCAGCCGCGGUAAUACGGAGGGUGCAAGCGUUAAUCGGAAUUACUGGGCGUAAAGCGUGCGUAGGCGGUUGACUAAGUCAGAUGUGAAAGCCCCGGGCUUAACCUGGGAACUGCAUUUGAAACUGGUCAACUAGAGUAUGGUAGAGGAAAGUGGAAUUUCUGGUGUAGCGGUGAAAUGCGUAGAUAUCAGAAGGAACAUCGAUGGCGAAGGCAGCUUUCUGGACCAAUACUGACGCUGAGGUACGAAAGCGUGGGUAGCAAACAGGAUUAGAUACCCUGGUAGUCCACGCCGUAAACGAUGAUAACUAGCCGUUGGGAGGGUUUACCUCUUAGUGGCGAAGCUAACGCGUUAAGUUAUCCGCCUGGGGAGUACGGCCGCAAGGCUAAAACUCAAAGGAAUUGACGGGGACC